UUAUUGUUUUAUGUAUUUAAUAUCCUAUAUUUUUUAUUGUUAUUUUAGAGUAUAUGCUUACUACUUUUUUUUAAGGUAACUGUGAAGCAGCCUCAGGCAGUUUCUUCAGGAGGUUUCCAGAAGAAGGCAUUCUUAUCAAGGAGAUGACAGCUCCAUGCCUGUUACUGCCCCUGAAGACCUUCCGGUGGGACAAGAUGUGGAGGUAGAGGACAGUGAAAUUGAUGAUCCUGACCCUGCUUAGCCUUAGGCGAAAGUGUCUGGUUGUGUCUUGUUUUUUAACAACAAACGGUUUAAAAGUAAAAUAAAUAAAUAAUGAAAAAAGCUCAUAGAAUAAGGUUAAAAAGAAACAAAAUAUUUUUGUAUAGCUAUAUAAUUUGUGUGGCUUUUUUGUUUAUUUGUUUGAGACAGGGUCUCACUCUGUCACCCAGACUGGAGGGCAGUGGCACAAUCACAGCUCACUGUGGUCUCAACCUCUUGAGCUCCAGAGAUCCUCCCACCUCACUCAGGAGGACGUCAGUCCUCCAGGCAGACGUCAGUCCCCAGGUGGACCCUGGACUCAAAGUGUAUACCAGGCCCCAAGUUGACAACCAGGCCCCAGAUGGACACCAAGGCCCUAGGUGGACAGCAGGCCCAUGUUGAACACCAGACUCAUGAGGACAUCAGGCCGCAGGUAGACAUCAUGCCUUAGGUAGAUACGUAGGCUCCGGGUGGACAUUAGACCCAAGGCUCCAGGUAGACAUUAGACCCAAGUCCCCAGGUGAUCAUCAGGCCCAGGUGAAAACUCAGGCCUUAGGUGCACCUCUGGCCUCAGGUGGACACAAGGCCUUAGGUGAACAACAAGACCCAGUAGGCCAUCAGGCCCCAGCUGGAUACAGUCCCCAGGUGAACACAAGGCCCCAAGAGGGAC
rnacentral:lncRNA from 1 species